GGCAGCACAGUAAGAGCUUGCUCUUAUGGGUGGCGAGUGGCGGACGGGUGAGGAAUACGUCGGAAUCUACCUUUUCGUGGGGGAUAACGUAGGGAAACUUACGCUAAUACCGCAUACGACCUUCGGGUGAAAGCAGGGGACCUUCGGGCCUUGCGCGGAUAGAUGAGCCGAUGUCGGAUUAGCUAGUUGGCGGGGUAAAGGCCCACCAAGGCGACGAUCCGUAGCUGGUCUGAGAGGAUGAUCAGCCACACUGGAACUGAGACACGGUCCAGACUCCUACGGGAGGCAGCAGUGGGGAAUAUUGGACAAUGGGCGCAAGCCUGAUCCAGCCAUACCGCGUGGGUGAAGAAGGCCUUCGGGUUGUAAAGCCCUUUUGUUGGGAAAGAAAAGCAGUCGGCUAAUACCCGGUUGUUCUGACCGUCCCGAAGAACGGCACCGGCUAACUUCGUGCCAGCAGCCGCGGUAAUACGAAGGGUGCAAGCGUUACUCGGAAUUACUGGGCGUAAAGCGUGCGUAGGUGGUUGUUUAAGUCUGUUGUGAAAUCCCUGGGCUCAACCUGGGAAUUGCAGUGGAUACUGGGCGACUAGAGUGUGGCAGAGGGGAGUGGAAUUCCCGGUGUAUCGGCGAAGUGCUUAGAGAUCGGGAGGAACAUCCAUGGCGAAAGCAGCUACCUGGACCAACACUGACGCUGAUGUACGAAAGCGUGUGGAGCAUACCGGAUCAGAUACCCUGGUAGUCCACGGCCUAAACGAUGCCUACUGGAUGUUCGGUGCCAUUUGGCACGCUUUAUCGAAGCUUACGUCCUUAAGUUCGCCGCCAAGAGGAGUACGCUCACAUGACUGUAACUCAGAUGACUUGACCGGC
rnacentral:rRNA from 1 species